GGAAUAUAAGAACCCGUCUCUUAACUUUUAACUAAAAAAGCUAAGAACCGGUUCUUAAAACUUAUUUAAGAACCGGUUCUUAGUUUUUUUAGUUAAAAGUUAAGAGACGGGUUCUUAGC
rfam:Brassica oleracea var. oleracea cultivar TO1000 chromosome C2, whole genome shotgun sequence